rnacentral:rRNA from 1 species
AUUGAACGCUGGCGGCAAGCCUAACACAUGCAAGUCGAACGAGUGGCGGACGGGUGAGUAAUGUCUGGGAAACUGCCUGAUGGAGGGGGAUAACUACUGGAAACGGUAGCUAAUACCGCAUACCAUCGGAUGUGCCCAGAUGGGAUUAGCUAGUAGGUGGGGUAAAGGCUCACCUGGGCGACGAUCCCUAGCUGGUCUGAGAGGAUGACCAGCCACACUGGAAUUGAGACACGGCCCAGACCCCUAGGGGGGGAAGCAGGGGGUAAUAUUGCACAAUGGGCGAAAGCCUGAAGCAGCCAUGCCGGGUGUAUGAAGAAGGCUUUCGGGUUGUAAAGUACUUUCAGCGGGGAGGCGUUACCCGCAGAAGAAGCACCGCCUAAUACCGGGCCAGCGGCCGCGGUAAUA